GAUGAACGCUGGCGGCGUGCCUAAUACAUGCAAGUCGAGCGAACAGAAGAGGAGCUUGCUCCUCUGACGUUAGCGGCGGACGGGUGAGUAACACGUGGAUAACCUACCUAUAAGACUGGGAUAACUUCGGGAAACCGGAGCUAAUACCGGAUAAUAUAUUGAACCGCAUGGUUCAAUAGUGAAAGACGGUUUUGCUGUCACUUAUAGAUGGAUCCGCGCCGCAUUAGCUAGUUGGUAAGGUAACGGCUUACCAAGGCAACGAUGCGUAGCCGACCUGAGAGGGUGAUCGGCCACACUGGAACUGAGACACGAUCCAGACUCCUACGGGAGGCAGCAGUAGGGAAUCUUCCGCAAUGGGCGAAAGCCUGACGGAGCAACGCCGCGUGAGUGAUGAAGGUCUUCGGAUCGUAAAACUCUGUUAUUAGGGAAGAACAAAUGUGUAAGUAACUAUGCACGUCUUGACGGUACCUAAUCAGAAAGCCACGGCUAACUACGUG
rnacentral:rRNA from 1 species